UACGUAGGUGACCAGCGUUGUCCGGAUUUACUGGGCGUAAAGAGCGCGCAGGCGGUCGUUCAAGUCGAGUGUGAAAGCCCCCGGCUCAACUGGGGAGGGUCAUUCGAUACUGAUCGACUUGAAGGCAGGAGAGGGAAGUGGAAUUCCCGGUGUAGUGGUGAAAUGCGUAGAUAUCGGGAAGAACACCCGUGGCGCAAGCGGCCACCUGGCAGAGUUCUGACGCUGAGGCACGAAAGCGUGGGGAGCGAACCGG
rnacentral:rRNA from 1 species